UGUUGUGCGCUGAAUUGUACUAACAGGAAGGAUAAAGGCAGUAGAAAGAAGUUUUUUAGAAUCCCUGCGGAACCAGGACGAAGGGCUGCAUGGCUUAGAGCCUUAAAAAGGUCAGAUUUUGAGCAGGGAAAGAAAAACCCGACCGCGGCGUGGACACCACGAGGCCACGAGAGAGUGUGCAGCGACCAUUUCAUCUCAGGGAACCCUUCUAAAGACCCUGCAGAUCCAGAUUACGUCCCAAGCUUGUUUAACCUCCCAACCUCAGCAAGUUGCAAUCGUUCAAGAAACCCAGUUGCCAAGAAAGAUCG